GACGAACGCUGGCGGCGUGCUUAACACAUGCAAGUCGAACGGUGAGGCACUGCUUUUGUGGGCUGCUUGAGUGGCGAACGGGUGAGUAACGCGUGAGUAACCUGCCUGUGACCUUGGGAUAACUUCAGGAAACUGUAGCUAAUACCGCAUAAGAGCUCCUGCUGCAUGACGUGGGCUGGAAAGUUUCGGCGGCUGGGGUUGGACACGGGGCUUAUUAGCUUGUUGGUGGGGUAGUGGUUUAGCAAGGCUUUGGCGGGUAGCCGGCCUGAGAGGGUGACAGGCCACAGUGGGACUGAGAUACGGGCCAGACUCCUACGGGAGGCAGCAGUGGGGAAUAGUGCACAAUGGGCGGAAGCCUGAUGCAGCAACGCCGCGUGCGGGAUGACGGCCGUCGGGUUGUAAACCGCUUUCGCCUGUGACGAAGCGUGAGUGACGGUAAUGGGUAAAGAAGCACCGGCUAACUACGUG
rnacentral:rRNA from 1 species